rnacentral:misc_RNA from 1 species
GAUGAAGAACGCAGCGAAAUGCGAUAAGUAAUGUGAAUUGCAGAAUUCAGUGAAUCAUCGAAUCUUUGAACGCACAUUGCGCCCCUUGGUAUCCCGAGGGGCAUGCCUGUUCGAGCGUCAUUUCACCACUCAAGCCUGGCUUGGUGUUGGGCGACGUCCCCUUUGGGGACGCGCCUCGAAACGCUCGGCGGCGUGGCACCGGCUUUAAGCGUAGCAGAAUCUUUCGCUUUGGAAGUCGGGGCCCCGUCUGCCGGAAGACCUACUCGCAAGGUUGACCUCGGAUCAGGCAGGGAUACCCGCUGAACUUAAGCAUAACAAUAAGCGGAGGA